rnacentral:rRNA from 1 species
GAUGAACGCUGGCGGCGUGCCUAAUACAUGCCAGUCGAGCGAACAGAUGAGGAGCUUGCUCCUCUGACGUUAGCGGCGGACGGGUGAGUAACACGUGGAUAACCUACCUAUAAGACUGGGAUAACUUCGGGAAACCGGAGCUAAUACCGGAUAAUAUAUUGAACCGCAUGGUUCAAUAGUGAAAGACGGUUUUGCUGUCACUUAUAGAUGGAUCCGCGCCGCAUUAGCUAGUUGGUAAGGUAGCGGCUUACCAAGGCAACGAUGCGUAGCCGACCUGAGAGGGUGAUCGGCCACACUGGAACUGAGACACGGUCCAGACUCCUACGGGAGGCAGCAGUAGGGAAUCUUCCGCAAUGGGCGAAAGCCUGACGGAGCAACGCCGCGUGAGUGAUGAAGGUCUUCGGAUCGUAAAACUCUGUUAUUAGGGAAGAACAAAUGUGUAAGUAACUAUGCACGUCUUGACGGUACCUAAUCAGAAAGCCACGGCUAACUACGUG